GAUAAUUUAGUUUAAAAAUAAAAUGUUAUUUUGCAAAAAUAAAGAUCUUUUGAAGUUUUAUUU
rnacentral:tRNA from 1 species